AUUUUUACCUGGGGGAUGAUACCAUGAUCACGAAGGUGGUUUCCCCGGGUGAGGCUUGUACUGCCCUCUGGAGUGCUGACCUCUGUGAUUUGCCAAGGUGGGAAACUCGACUGCAUCAUUUGUGGUAGUGGGGGGACUGUGUUCACGGUCUGCCCCA